AAAUUUUAUUCUUUAAUUUUUUGUAUUAAUCAUAGAUAAAAUAAAUUCUGUAUAUUUUAAUUUUAAAUUAAAAAUAAAAAAAGGUAAAUUAUACUUUUACUCUCUGAACUUUCGGCGGAAUUUUAUUUUAUCCUCUAAACUCCUAAAAUAAAUAUAUAACACUAUAAACUUUAAUAUUUCAUUCAUGUUAUCUCUUUCGUCAAGUUUUCGACACGCUUUGUUAACUGAAACUGACAAGAUGGGUAACAUGAAUGAAAUAUUAGAGUUUAAGAGUAUUAGAUAUCUAUUUUUUGAGUUUGGAAGGUAAAGUAAAACUCCAUCAAAAUUUCAUGAAUAACAGAAAUAUUUGAUUGUUGAAAUUUUUUUUUACAAAAAUAUUUAAUUAUAUUAGAAGGAUAGCUUAAAGAAAAAUAUUGAAAAAA
rnacentral:lncRNA from 1 species